UACAGAGGGGGCAAGCGUUGUUCGGAAUUACUGGGCGUAAAGGGCGCGUAGGCGGCCUUCUAAGUCGCACGUGAAAUCCCCGGGCUCAACCCGGGAACUGCGUCCGAUACUGGAAGGCUUGAAUCCGGGAGAGGGAUGUGGAAUUCCAGGUGUAGCGGUGAAAUGCGUAGAUAUCUGGAGGAACACCGGUGGCGAAGGCGACAUCCUGGACCGGUAUUGACGCUGAGGCGCGAAAGCCAGGGGAGCAAACGGG
rnacentral:rRNA from 1 species